rnacentral:rRNA from 1 species
CAUGUCUUUUUGAUUAUAAUUUAAGGUCUAACCUGCUCAAUGAUUUUAAUUAAAUUGCCGCAGUAUUCUGACUGUGCAAAGGUAGCAUAAUAAUUAGUUUUUUUAUUGGAAGCUGGAAUGAAUGGUUGGACGAAAUAAUUUCUGUCUCUUUAUAAUUUUUUUUUGAAUUUAAUUUUUAAGUUAAAAAGCUUAAAUUUUUUUAAAAGACGAGAAGACCCUAUAGAGUUUUAUUUUUUAUUUUAUUAUUAUUGUUAAGAAUUUAAAGUUUUAAUUUAACAAAAAAUUUAGUUGGGGUGAUUUAAAGAUUAAUUGAACUCUUUAGAUUAAGAUCAUUGAUUAAUGAAUUGAGAAUCUAUAUUUUUAAAUAUAAAAGAAAUUACCUUAGGGAUAACAGCGUAAUUUCUUUUUAGAGUUCUUAUUGAAAGAGAAGUUUGCGACCUCGAUGUUGGAUUAAAAUUUAUUUUGGGUGAAGAAGCUCAAUAAUUAAGUCUGUUCGACUUUUAAAAUUUUACAUGAUCUGAGU